rnacentral:rRNA from 1 species
GCCUGACGGAGCAAUACCGCGUGAGGGAAGACGGCCUAUGGGUUGUAAACCUCUUUUCUCAGGGAGGAACUCAAUGACGUGUACCUGAGGAAUAAGCAUCGGCUAACUCCGUGCCAGCAGCCGCGGUAAGACGGAGGAUGCAAGUGUUAUCCGGAAUCACUGGGCGUAAAGCGUCUGUAGGUGGUUUAGUAAGUCAACUGUUAAAUCUUGAAGCUCAACUUCAAAAUCGCAGUCGAAACUAUUAGACUAGAGUAUAGUAGGGGUAAAGGGAAUUUCCAGUGGAGCGGUGAAAUGCGUAGAGAUUGGAAAGAACACCGAUGGCGAAGGCACUUUACUGGGCUAUUACUGACACUCAGAGACGAAAGCUAGGGUAGCAAAUGGGAUUAGAUACCCCAGUAGUC